GAUGAACGCUGGCGGUAUGCUUAACACAUGCAAGUCGAACGGGAGACUUCGGUCUCUAGUGGCGGACGGGUGAGUAACGCGUGAGAAUCUGCCUUUAGGACGGGGACAACAGUUGGAAACGGCUGCUAAAACCCGAUGUGCCCUUCGGGGUGAAAUAUUUAUAGCCUGAAGAUGAGCUCGCGUCUGAUUAGCUAGUUGGUGCGGUAAUGGCGUACCAAGGCGACGAUCAGUAACUGGUCUGAGAGGAUGACCAGUCACACUGGGACUGAGACACGGCCCAGACUCCUACGGGAGGCAGCAGUGGGGAAUUUUCCGCAAUGGGCGCAAGCCUGACGGAGCAAUACCGCGUGAGGGAGGAAGGCUCUUGGGUCGUAAACCUCUUUUAUCAGGGAAGAACACAAUGACGGUACCUGAUGAAUCAGCAUCGGCUAACUCCGUGCCAGCAGCCGCGGUAAUACGGAGGAUGCAAGCGUUAUCCGGAAUUAUUGGGCGUAAAGCGUCCGCAGGUGGUUAUGAAAGUUUGCUGUCAAAGCGCGAGGCUCAACUUCGUAUCGGCGGUGAAAACUUCAAGACUAGAGCUAGGUAGGGGUCACGGGAAUUCCCAGUGUAGCGGUGAAAUGCGUAGAUAUUGGGAAGAACACCAGCGGCGAAAGCGCGUGACUGGGCCUGAGCUGACACUCAUGGACGAAAGCUAGGGGAGCGAAAGGGAUUAGAUACCCCUGUAGUCCUAGCCGUAAACGAUGACAACUAGGUGUUGCCCG
rnacentral:rRNA from 1 species